rnacentral:rRNA from 1 species
UUCCGGUUGAUCCUGCCGGACCCGACUGCUAUCAGAGUGGGACUAAGCCAUGCGAGUCAACGUAGCAAUACGUGGCAUACGGCUCAGUAACACGUAGUCAACAUGCCCAGGGGACGAGGAUAACCUCGGGAAACUGAGGAUAAACCUCGAUAGGCCAUGAUUUCUGGAAUGAUUCUUGGCUCAAACCUAUAUGGCCCCUGGAUUGGACUGCGGCCGAUCAGGCUGUUGGUGAGGUAAUGGCCCACCAAACCUAUUACCGGUACGGGCUCUGAGAGGAGGAGCCCGGAGAUGGGCACUGAGACAAGGGCCCAGGCCCUAUGGGGCGCAGCAGGCGCGAAACCUCUGCAAUAGGCGAAAGCUUGACAGGGUUACUCUGAGUGAUUUCCGCUAAGGGAAUCUUUUGGCACCUCUAAAAAUGGUGCAGAAUAAGGGGUGGGCAAGUCUGGUGUCAGCCGCCGCGGUAAUACCAGCACCCCGAGUGGUCGGGACGAUUAUUGGGCCUAAAGCAUCCGUAGCCGGUCCUGCAAGUCUUCCGUUAAAUCCAGCUGCUCAACAGAUGGGCUGCGGGAGAUACUACAGGGCUAGGAGGCGGGAGAGGCAAGCGGUACUUUAUGGGUAGGGGUAAAAUCCGCUGAUCCAUAGAAGACCACCAGUGGCGAAGGCGGCUUGCCAGAACGCGCUCGACGGUGAGGGAUGAAAGCUGGGGGAGCAAACCGGAUUAGAUACCCGGGUAGUCCCAG